rnacentral:rRNA from 1 species
AUUGAACGCUGGCGGCAGGCCUAACACAUGCAAGUCGAGCGGAUGAAGGGAGCUUGCUCCUGGAUUCAGCGGCGGACGGGUGAGUAAUGCCUAGGAAUCUGCCUGGUAGUGGGGGAUAACGUCCGGAAACGGGCGCUAAUACCGCAUACGUCCUGAGGGAGAAAGUGGGGGAUCUUCGGACCUCACGCUAUCAGAUGAGCCUAGGUCGGAUUAGCUAGUUGGUGGGGUAAAGGCCUACCAAGGCGACGAUCCGUAACUGGUCUGAGAGGAUGAUCAGUCACACGGGAAGUGAGACACGGUCCAGACUCCUACGGGAGGCAGCGGUGGGGAAUAUUGGGCAAUGGGCGAAAGCCUGAUCCAGCCAUGCCGCGUGUGUGAAGAAGGUCUUCGGAUUGUAAAGCACUUUAAGUUGGGAGGAAGGGCAGUAAGUUAAUACCUGGCUGUUUUGACGUUACCGACAGAAUAAGCACCGGCUAACUUCGUG